rnacentral:rRNA from 1 species
UGCUCAGUCUCUAUUUAAAAGACCUUUUUCGAAAGGUAUACUUAAAGAGGGGCUUGCGGCACAUUAGUUAGUUGGUAGGGUAAAAGCCUACCAAGACCAUGAUGUGUAGCUGGACUGAGAGGUUGAACAGCCACAUUGGGACUGAGACACGGCCCAAACUCCUACGGGAGGCAGCAGUAGGGAAUUUUCGGCAAUGGAGGAAACUCUGACCGAGCAACGCCGCGUGAACGAUGAAGUAUUUCGGUAUGUAAAGUUCUUUUAUUGGAGAAGAAAAAAUAGUGGAAAAACUAUCUUGACGAUAUUCAAUGAAUAAGCCCCGGCAAACUAUGUGCCAGCAGCCGCGGUAAUACAUAGGGGGCGAGCGUUAUCCGGAAUUAUUGGGCGUAAAGGGUGCGUAGGCGGUUUGGUAAGUCUAUAGUUUAAUUUCAGUGCUUAACACUGUUCUGCUAUAGAAACUAUCAGACUAGAGUGAGAUAGAGGCAAGUGGAAUUCCAUGUGUAGCGGUAAAAUGCGCAAAUAUAUGGAGGAACACCAGAGGCGUAGGCGGCUUGCUGGGUCUUUACUGACGCUGAGGCACGAAAGCGUGGGGAGCAAACAGGAUUAGAUACCCUGGUAGUCCACGCCGUAAACGAUGAGUACUAAGUGUCGGGGAAACUCGGUACUGAAGUUAACACAUUAAGUACUCCGCCUGAGUAGUACGUACGCAAGUAUGAAACUUAAAGGAAUUGACGGGACUCCGCACAAGCGGUGGAUCAUGUUGUUUAAUUCGAAGAUACACGAAAAACCUUACCAGGUCUUGACAUACUCUGCAAAGCUAUAGCAAUAUAGCGGAGGUUAUCAGGGAUACAGGUGGUGCAUGGUUGUCGUCAGCUCGUGUCGUGAGAUGUUAGGUUAAGUCCUAAAACGAGCGCAACCCUUGUCACUAGUUGCCAGCAUGUUAUGAUGGGCACUUUAGUGAGACUGCCAAUGAAAAAUUGGAGGAAGGUGAGGAUCACGUCAAAUCAUCAUGCCCCUUAUGAUCUGGGCUACAAACGUGAUACAAUGGCUGUUACAAAGAGUAGCUAAAACGCGAGUUUAUAGCCAAUCUCAUAAAAGCAGUCUCAGUUCGGAUUGAAGUCUGCAACUCGACUUCAUGAAGUUGGAAUCGCUAGUAAUCGCGAAUCAGCAUGUCGUCGUAUUUUGUGGCC